rnacentral:rRNA from 1 species
UACGGGGGGGGCAAGCGUUGUUCGGAAUUACUGGGCGUAAAGGGCUCGUAGGCGGCCAACUAAGUCAAACGUGAAAUCCCUCGGCUUAACCGGGGAACUGCGCUUGAUACUGGAUGGCUUGAGAUUGGGAGAGGGAUGCGGAAUUCCAGGUGUAGCGGUGAAAUGCGUAGAUAUCUGGAGGAACACCGGUGGCGAAGGCGGCAUCCUGGACCAACACUGACACUGAGGCACGAAAGCGUGGGGAGCAAACAGG